rnacentral:rRNA from 1 species
GAUAAACGCUGGCGGCGUGCCUAAUACAUGCAAGUCGAGCGAACGGACGAGAAGCUUGCUUCUCUGAUGUUAGCGGCGGACGGGUGAGUAACACGUGGAUAACCUACCUAUAAGACUGGGAUAACUUCGGGAAACCGGAGCUAAUACCGGAUAAUAUUUUGAACCGCAUGGUUCAAAAGUGAAAGACGGUCUUGCUGUCACUUAUAGAUGGAUCCGCGCUGCAUUAGCUAGUUGGUAAGGUAACGGCUUACCAAGGCAACGAUGCAUAGCCGACCUGAGAGGGUGAUCGGCCACACUGGAACUGAGACACGGUCCAGACUCCUACGGGAGGCAGCAGUAGGGAAUCUUCCGCAAUGGGCGAAAGCCUGACGGAGCAACGCCGCGUGAGUGAUGAAGGUCUUCGGAUCGUAAAACUCUGUUAUUAGGGAAGAACAUAUGUGUAAGUAACUGUGCACAUCUUGACGGUACCUAAUCAGAAAGCCACAGCUAACUACGUGCCAGCAGCCGCGGUAAUACGUAGGUGGNCAGCGUUAUCCGGAAUUAUUGGGCGGAAAAGCGCGCGUAGGCGGUUUUUUAGUCUGAUGUGAAAGCCCACGGCUCAACCGUGGAGGGUCAUUGGAAACUGGAAAACUUGAGUGCAGAAGAGGAAAGUGGAAUUCCAUGUGUAGCGGUGAAAUGCGCAGAGAUAUGGAGGAACACCAGUGGCGAAGGCGACUUUCUGGUCUGUAACUGACGCUGAUGUGCGAAAGCGUGGGGAUCAAACAGGAUUAGAUACCCUGGUAGUCCACGCCGUAAACGAUGAGUGCUAAGUGUUAGGGGGUUUCCGCCCCUUAGUGCUGCAGCUAACGCAUUAAGCACUCCGCCUGGGGAGUACGACCGCAAGGUUGAAACUCAAAGGAAUUGACGGGGACCCGCACAAGCGGUGGAGCAUGUGGUUUAAUUCGAAGCAACGCGAAGAACCUUACCAAAUCUUGACAUCCUUUGACAACUCUAGAGAUAGAGCCUUCCCCUUCGGGGGACAAAGUGACAGGUGGUGCAUGGUUGUCGUCAGCUCGUGUCGUGAGAUGUUGGGUUAAGUCCCGCAACGAGCGCAACCCUUAAGCUUAGUUGCCAUCAUUAAGUUGGGCACUCUAAGUUGACUGCCGGUGACAAACCGGAGGAAGGUGGGGAUGACGUCAAAUCAUCAUGCCCCUUAUGAUUUGGGCUACACACGUGCUACAAUGGACAAUACAAAGGGCAGCGAAACCGCGAGGUCAAGCAAAUCCCAUAAAGUUGUUCUCAGUUCGGAUUGUAGUCUGCAACUCGACUACAUGAAGCUGGAAUCGCUAGUAAUCGUAGAUCAGCAUGCUAUGGCGAAUACGUUCCCGGGUCU